AUAAAAAGGAGGUUCCAUCCUCUUCAAAAACACAUCUUUAUUGCCUCUUCCUUCUACCAUAUCACUUCUUCCUAUUACCUUUUCACUUUUUCUCUUUCUCUCUCAUCAUUUACUAUUAUUAUAUUUCUGGGUUCUAUUGGGUAUUACUCUUUUAAGAGUAACUUGCUAGUUUUGAUCAUCGAAAAUCUUCACGAAGUUUCUGUUGUAUCCUGAGGAACUUGCGCAAUACACUGCGAAUAGAUCCUUAUGGACAAUGAUUACUUACCUCUCAGAAAUCUAUUUUUGUUCGUUUUAAAGUCUAUUUUACUACAAUGAGAGAAUGUUGAAACUUAGGGACAAGAAUGUUAUGGGGGCUUUGCUUCAUCCUUAUAUACUAGAGCAACCAUACUUUUGUUUGGUUGAUUGGUGAGUCGUAUACUUGAAAACAAAGGUGUAUUUGGCGAAGUGUGUUAUCCUUAUAGAUGAAAGUCGAAAUGGAAGAAGAAAGGAUAGAGAAAGUGGUACACUAAUGAGUGUACUAUAUAUAAAUUGAGUCAUGCGUUGUGAAUUGUUAAAUUAGCAACUUGUUGAGGCGAUGUCAUCAUCAAUUUCCCUAUAUAUGCCAACAAAUUCUCACUGCCAAUAAUAUAGCUUUUCCUAUAAUUUUUUUGUGUUCUACUCCCUACCUUUUUU
rnacentral:lncRNA from 1 species